rnacentral:misc_RNA from 1 species
GAAACGCGAUAAGUAAUGUGAAUUGCAGAAUUCAGUGAGUCAUCGAAUCUUUGAACGCACAUUGCGCCCGCCAGUAUUCUGGCGGGCAUGCCUGUUCGAGCGUCAUUUCAACCAUCAAGCCCCGCGCUUGUGUUGGGGACCUGCGGCUGCCGCAGGCCCUGAAAACCAGUGGCGGGCUCGCUGUCACACCGGGCGUAGUAGAUUUUAUCUCGCUCAGGGCGUGCUGCGGGUUCCGGCCGUUAAAAAGCCUUUUUUACCCAAGGUUGACCUCGGAUCAGGUAGGAAGACCCGCUGAACUUAAGC